rnacentral:rRNA from 2 species
GGCGCCUUCGGUGUCCGAGUUGUAAUUUGAAGAAGGUAACUUUGGUUUUGGCUCUUGUCUAUGUUCCUUGGAACAGGACGUCACAGAGGGUGAGAAUCCCGUGCGAUGAGAUGCCCAAUUCCAUGUAAAGUGCUUUCGAAGAGUCGAGUUGUUUGGGAAUGCAGCUCUAAGUGGGUGGUAAAUUCCAUCUAAAGCUAAAUAUUGGCGAGAGACCGAUAGCGAACAAGUACAGUGAUGGAAAGAUGAAAAGAACUUUGAAAAGAGAGUGAAAAAGUACGUGAAAUUGUUGAAAGGGAAGGGUUUGAGAUCAGACUUGGUAUUUUGUAUGUUUUACUCUCGGGUGAGGCCUCUGCAGUUUACUGGGCCAGCAUCAGUUUGGAUGGUAGGAUAAUGACAUUGGAA